rnacentral:rRNA from 1 species
GACGUAGGGCGCGAGCGUUGUCCGGAUUUAUUGGGCGUAAAGAGCUCGUAGGCGGCUUGUCGCGUCGACCGUGAAAACUCGCAGCUCAACUGCGAGCCUGCGGUCGAUACGGGCAGGCUUGAGUGCGGUAGGGGAGACUGGAAUUCCUGGUGUAGCGGUGAAAUGCGCAGAUAUCAGGAGGAACACCGGUGGCGAAGGCGGGUCUCUGGGCCGUAACUGACGCUGAGACGCGAAAGCGUGGGGAGCAAACAGG